rnacentral:lncRNA from 1 species
CUCAGUCUGCUGUGGGUGAUCAGUGGAGAGGAUGUCUAACGCUGGUGGUUGUGACGGUGACCUGGAGCAUUUGGCGCUUCAGCAUGAUGGCUUUGGCUAGAUUUCGGACAGCGUCAUUGCUCUGCUAAGAGAAUGUUCUAUUGAAACUGAGGAUAUGAUGUCCAUGUAUUGAGACCUGCUUCAGUCAUCUUCCGUCAUGGUGCAGUGAUUUGGAGUGUCCAGGAGGUGGCACUCUGUCCUGUUCCUGGUGAGUCUUCUUUGUUUGAAAAAUUAAGUUUUUCAUGGACAAGCACUGUAUGGUAUCUGCAUCCAGUUGUAUAUCUGGCUGGAUUGUUCAAAUGUCAGUGCGAGAGCAAUUUGAUAGCUGCUGUUAUGGGCCUUAUAUCCUUUUAUAUGUUGGGUCCUUGCGGUUGCCGAAACAGCAAAUUCAAUUUGUUUGAAGUGACCUUUAUUUUAUUUGUGGAUAUUGGAAAGAAGUUUGUGAAUUAUUACCCAGAGACUUUUGUGCUUUUACUAUAAAGUACUAACCAUGCACCUACAAGUACGGGCUUGGUAAAACUUGUUUACAUGUGUAAAAUGAGCCUUGGGUAUAUUUUCCAUUGAGUUUUCUUCAUGCUGGAAGAUAAGGGAACAGUAAAUGUCAAUUUGCUAGCCAUGCAGUGUCAACUGCCAGCAAUUCCAAGUACAAAACUGGAAACUAUUUAAAGGUCUCCUGCUUAGCCAAUCAACACUAAUCAAAUUGAUAUCCAUACAAAUAUAGGUUAUUUCCUCACGUUCCUCUUAGCUCCCCCACUUACUGGCUACAAGGGUGGCAUGUUGGGUAUGUGUGGCUGCUGGUGGCAUGAUGUGUCAGAAUCUGGCCACAUACCCCACACCAUGUCCCACCCUUAAAACAGAACAUAACACCACACUGUUACAUGCCCCCUUUAAAUGUGUAUAGCAUGGGUGUUUAAUAUAUCAAAUAUAUUUGAUAUCCUGACAUUUUAUUUUUGUUCAGGUGAGGAGGAUGCAGAAAUGGAAAGGAUCAAAAAGCAAGAGCAGGUGAGCAUCACUGUGGCCAGUUGUACUUUACUGACUCGGUUGGUCAUAUACCAAGGCUUUUGGGAGUUGUAGUUCCUAAUUUGCUGUGGACAUGACCAGAAAUUAAACCCCAGUGGGCUGCUUCAGUUUUUUUGCUGCUGUGGUCUGCUGGGAACAUUAUAUAAAAAAGUAUAAACUUUUGUCUUAAAUGUGCCUUUUUUUAAAUGGCGUGUUAAGCUUUAUCUUUAAUGGAUUGUUUUCCUCAGGACUGGAGUUGGCAUUGAACCUGUCUUCCCUUCAGUGGGGAUGUGGAAUAAAAGGUAGAUACAGCUCUUAAUCUCUUCUACG